GGUUUUUUGUGUUUUCCAGUUGCUGACUGUUGGUGUUGUUGAUCAACCAGUAAGCCACAUGCCACCUUCUGCACAGAUGCCUGGCACAGUGUUGUUGAGAGCCUCUGCUGUCACCAUGUCACCGUGAUCAAGCACGGCUCUCUCUCUGUGAUGGAAAUCCAAACAAACUGCAUUCAGGAAUACCUGCAUUGUUGAACUUUUUGCUUCACACAGAAUAGGUCAUCCUGACUGAAAUUUUGUUAUCUCUGCUUCUGUGCAAUCUGGAAAAUAUUCAACACAGAAAUUCUCUGCUUC
rnacentral:lncRNA from 1 species